GAUCAUGGCUCAGGAUGAACGCUAGCUACAGGCUUAACACAUGCAAGUCGAGGGGCAGCAUGGUCUUAGCUUGCUAAGGCCGAUGGCGACCGGCGCACGGGUGGAGUAACACGUAUCCAACCUGCCGUCUACUCUUGGACAGCCUUCUGAAAGGAAGAUUAACUACAAGAUGGCAUCAUGAGUCCGCAUAGUUCACAUGAUUAAAGGUAUUCCGGUAGACGAUGGGGA
rnacentral:rRNA from 1 species